GGGUUGUGAGGUUAAGCGACUAAGCGUACACGGUGGAUGCCCUGGCAGUCAGAGGCGAUGAAGGACGUGCUAAUCUGCGAUAAGCGUCGGUAAGGUGAUAUGAACCGUUAUAACCGGCGAUUUCCGAAUGGGGAAACCCAGUGUGAUUCGUCACACUAUCAUUAACUGAAUCCAUAGGUUAAUGAGGCGAACCGGGGGAACUGAAACAUCUAAGUACCCCGAGGAAAAGAAAUCAACCGAGAUUCCCCCAGUAGCGGCGAGCGAACGGGGAGCAGCCCAGAGCCUGAAUCAGUGUGUGUGUUAGUGGAAGCGUCUGGAAAGGCGCGCGAUACAGGGUGACAGCCCCGUACACAAAAAUGCACAUGCUGUGAGCUCGAUGAGUAGGGCGGGACACGUGGUAUCCUGUCUGAAUAUGGGGGGACCAUCCUCCAAGGCUAAAUACUCCUGACUGACCGAUAGUGAACCAGUACCGUGAGGGAAAGGCGAAAAGAACCCCGGCGAGGGGAGUGAAAAAGAACCUGAAACCGUGUACGUACAAGCAGUGGGAGCACAGAGCAAUCUGUGUGACUGCGUACCUUUUGUAUAAUGGGUCAGCGACUUAUAUUCUGUAGCAAGGUUAACCGAAUAGGGGAGCCGAAGGGAAACCGAGUCUUAACUGGGCGUUAAGUUGCAGGGUAUAGACCCGAAACCCGGUGAUCUAGCCAUGGGCAGGUUGAAGGUUGGGUAACACUAACUGGAGGACCGAACCGACUAAUGUUGAAAAAUUAGCGGAUGACUUGUGGCUGGGGGUGAAAGGCCAAUCAAACCGGGAGAUAGCUGGUUCUCCCCGAAAGCUAUUUAGGUAGCGCCUCGUGAAUUCAUCUCCGGGGGUAGAGCACUGUUUCGGCAAGGGGGUCAUCCCGACUUACCAACCCGAUGCAAACUGCGAAUACCGGAGAAUGUUAUCACGGGAGACACACGGCGGGUGCUAACGUCCGUCGUGAAGAGGGAAACAACCCAGACCGCCAGCUAAGGUCCCAAAGUCAUGGUUAAGUGGGAAACGAUGUGGGAAGGCCCAGACAGCCAGGAUGUUGGCUUAGAAGCAGCCAUCAUUUAAAGAAAGCGUAAUAGCUCACUGGUCGAGUCGGCCUGCGCGGAAGAUGUAACGGGGCUAAACCAUGCACCGAAGCUGCGGCAGCGACGCUUAUGCGUUGUUGGGUAGGGGAGCGUUCUGUAAGCCUGUGAAGGUGUGCUGUGAGGCAUGCUGGAGGUAUCAGAAGUGCGAAUGCUGACAUAAGUAACGAUAAAGCGGGUGAAAAGCCCGCUCGCCGGAAGACCAAGGGUUCCUGUCCAACGUUAAUCGGGGCAGGGUGAGUCGACCCCUAAGGCGAGGCCGAAAGGCGUAGUCGAUGGGAAACAGGUUAAUAUUCCUGUACUUGGUGUUACUGCGAAGGGGGGACGGAGAAGGCUAUGUUGGCCGGGCGACGGUUGUCCCGGUUUAAGCGUGUAGGCUGGUUUUCCAGGCAAAUCCGGAAAAUCAAGGCUGAGGCGUGAUGACGAGGCACUACGGUGCUGAAGCAACAAAUGCCCUGCUUCCAGGAAAAGCCUCUAAGCAUCAGGUAACAUCAAAUCGUACCCCAAACCGACACAGGUGGUCAGGUAGAGAAUACCAAGGCGCUUGAGAGAACUCGGGUGAAGGAACUAGGCAAAAUGGUGCCGUAACUUCGGGAGAAGGCACGCUGAUAUGUAGGUGAAGUCCCUCGCGGAUGGAGCUGAAAUCAGUCGAAGAUACCAGCUGGCUGCAACUGUUUAUUAAAAACACAGCACUGUGCAAACACGAAAGUGGACGUAUACGGUGUGACGCCUGCCCGGUGCCGGAAGGUUAAUUGAUGGGGUCAGCGCAAGCGAAGCUCUUGAUCGAAGCCCCGGUAAACGGCGGCCGUAACUAUAACGGUCCUAAGGUAGCGAAAUUCCUUGUCGGGUAAGUUCCGACCUGCACGAAUGGCGUAAUGAUGGCCAGGCUGUCUCCACCCGAGACUCAGUGAAAUUGAACUCGCUGUGAAGAUGCAGUGUACCCGCGGCAAGACGGAAAGACCCCGUGAACCUUUACUAUAGCUUGACACUGAACAUUGAGCCUUGAUGUGUAGGAUAGGUGGGAGGCUUUGAAGUGUGGACGCCAGUCUGCAUGGAGCCGACCUUGAAAUACCACCCUUUAAUGUUUGAUGUUCUAACGUUGACCCGUAAUCCGGGUUGCGGACAGUGUCUGGUGGGUAGUUUGACUGGGGCGGUCUCCUCCUAAAGAGUAACGGAGGAGCACGAAGGUUGGCUAAUCCUGGUCGGACAUCAGGAGGUUAGUGCAAUGGCAUAAGCCAGCUUGACUGCGAGCGUGACGGCGCGAGCAGGUGCGAAAGCAGGUCAUAGUGAUCCGGUGGUUCUGAAUGGAAGGGCCAUCGCUCAACGGAUAAAAGGUACUCCGGGGAUAACAGGCUGAUACCGCCCAAGAGUUCAUAUCGACGGCGGUGUUUGGCACCUCGAUGUCGGCUCAUCACAUCCUGGGGCUGAAGUAGGUCCCAAGGGUAUGGCUGUUCGCCAUUUAAAGUGGUACGCGAGCUGGGUUUAGAACGUCGUGAGACAGUUCGGUCCCUAUCUGCCGUGGGCGCUGGAGAACUGAGGGGGGCUGCUCCUAGUACGAGAGGACCGGAGUGGACGCAUCACUGGUGUUCGGGUUGUCAUGCCAAUGGCACUGCCCGGUAGCUAAAUGCGGAAGAGAUAAGUGCUGAAAGCAUCUAAGCACGAAACUUGCCCCGAGAUGAGUUCUCCCUGACUCCUUGAGAGUCCUGAAGGAACGUUGAAGACGACGACGUUGAUAGGCUGGGUGUGUAAGCGCAGCGAUGCGUUGAGCUAACCGGUACUAAUGAACCGUGAGGCUUAACCUUACAACGCCGAAGGUGUUU
rnacentral:rRNA from 1 species